rnacentral:ncRNA from 1 species
GGGACAGGUUCCCCCAAAGAGCGGGGGAUAAUAGGGAAUCAGGUGCGAAUCCUGAGCGGUCCCGCCACUGUAACCGGGAGAGUCGCCGGCGCAUGAUCCACUGCUCCCCGUGGCAGAUAGACCUGAAAGGGGAGUGGGAAGGAGCCGUCCGAUGAUGAUCCGGAAGCCAGGAGACCUGCCUGGACC